rnacentral:tRNA from 1 species
GCCGGGGUGGCAGAGUGGUAAUGCGCUGGCCUCGAGAGCCAGUGGGUCUUUGACCCUCAGGGGUUCAAAUCCUCUCCCCGGCGCCA